CAUGGCUAUCAAGACAAAUAUGUCAAAGGCCUAUGACCGUGUGGAAUGGUGUUUCGUGGAGUUCAUGCUGGAGAGGAUGGGGUUUGAUAGGAAAUGGGUGACAUGGAUUGUGUCCUGCAUCAGUUAUGUUACAUACUAUGUGCUCUUAAACGGCAGACAACACGGUUUCAUUAAACCAGAGAGAGGGAUUCGUCAAGGUGACCCCUUAUCUCCAUUUCUCUUCAUUUUGUGUGAUGAGGCUUUGGUGAGUACUCUUAUUCAAGCUGAGGCAUCUGGGAAGCUGAAUGGAGUGUGACUGUUAAGGGAGGGUCCAGUUGUGCACCAUCUGCUUUUCGCUGAUGAUAGUUUACUAAGCAACUACAGAAGAAGGAGCGGAAAUUGUUAAGAGACUGAAGUUGUAUGGUGAUGCGUCGGGUCAAAUGAUCAACACCGCCAAAUCAUCAAUCAUCUUUGGCUCCAAAGUGCCUGAACCGAUACAUGAGGAGAUGAAAACAGUGUUGGGUAUAGCUACAGAGGGGGUGAAGGAUCCUAUCUAGGAUUACCUGAAUGCUUCAGCGGUUCUAAGAUUAAACUACUUAAUUUCAUUAAGGAGAAGCUUCAGAAGAGACUUAGAGGUGGGGGCGCAAAAAUAUUAUCUCAAGGAGGUAAAGAGAUCAUUCUUAAGUCUGUGGGAAUGGCGUUACCGGUUUUUGCGAUGAGUUGCUUUAGGUUGCCUAAAGAUCUUUGUGCGAAACUAACGAGCAUCAUGACUGAUUUUUGGUGGGGGGAGGGGCCGUAGGAUAGAAGAAAAUCCCAUGGGUCGCUUGGCAUAAGCUUUGUAAACCUAAAGAGCUCAGUGGAAUGGGCUUCAAGUAUAUAGCUUGGUUCAAUCAAGCCUUGUUAUGCAAGCAAGCCUGGAGAAUAUGGUCUAAUCCUCAGUCUUUGUUGGCCAGAGUCAUGAAAAGCAGAUACUUUAGACAAGGAGACUUCCUGGACUGUCCUAUUGGCAGUAGACCAUCAUAUGCUUGGAGGAGCAUAGUUCAUGGGCAUGAGCUAAUAUCGCAGGGGAUUCGGAAACGUAUUGGGAAUGGAAGAGAUACACAUGUUUGGUACGAUAAUUGGCUUCUCAUGCCCACCCCUAGACCUUCGAGAUAUAGAACAUAUGAGGUAGACCUUUCUCUCAUGGUAUGCGACCUUAUUGAUUCGAGGCAUGGAACUUGGGAUGCUCCGAGGAUUCGGCAUCUUUUUGUUGAGGAAGAUGCUACUAAGAUAUUGGGAAUGAAGCUGAACCUACAGUGUGAGGAUACAAAGGUCUGGGGUUUUAGCAAAUGUAUGAUUCUCAAAGCGGAUAUAAACUUCUGAAUCUCCUACAGACGAUUAAAAGUCCAAUGACGGCUCCGACUAUACCCCCUGUGGAGAAAAAACUUUGGUCUAAUCUAUGGAAGGUGAAAACAUUACCUAAAGUUAGACAUUUAAUGUGGCGUGCAUUAGCUGGAGCCUUAGCAGUAUCGGAACGGCUUGCUUCUCGUGGUAUCAAUGUUGACGCUACCUGUAAGGUAUGUCAGGCUCAGCCGGUAACCAUUUGCCAUGUCCUCUUUCAUUGCCCGGUUGCGAAGGAGGUAUGGAGAUUAUCGGGCUUCCCUAUUCCACCAAAUGGUUUCUCAAGCAACUCAGUCUUUCUAAAUUUUCACCACUUGCUUGAAAGUUGCAAGAAAAGUCAUUUAUCUGAGAAAACUAGAUUGGUGUUUCCGGUAGAUUCUCUGGCAUUUAUGGAAAUCAAGGAACCGCUGCGUGUUUGAACAUGUGAUCUCAAGAGCUGAGGAAGUGUGGGAGAGAAUCCAAUUAGAGCCGGAAGCUGGCACGUUGCUAACUUGACGGACAAAGAAGCUAUGGAUCAGGAUGUAGUAGUAGAUCCUCUAUCAGGUUGGUAUGCCCAAGUUUUGCUAAAUGUAACAUUGGGUCAUCGUGGGUUGAUGGAAACCAGAAUUGUGGUGUUGCUUGGUUGACAAGGAAUCACGCUGGAACAGCCUUAGCCCACAGCCGUCGCUCGUACUCCCAUGUUUCAUCAUCACUAGAGGCUGAGCUUCUGGGUUUCUAUUGGGCUGCAGAAAGUUUAUCGACGUUGAAAUAUGAGAAGGUGGUGUUUGAGUCUACGUCGUACUUGGCUGGAGAAGCAGUCUUAAAGCCAGAAAACUUCUCUCAAUGGCGUAGCCUGAUUGGAGCUAUAAGAGAGAAAUUGUACCCGCUCAGGUUAUGGUCCAUUGCGUAUGUUUACAGAGAGGCAAACACAUGUGCUGAUGCUAUUGCUCUCAGUGUAACAAAAGACCACCGCUAUGCUUCUUACAUUGCUAAGGAUUGCCCUGGAUGGCUACUGCGCAUGGUACGUGAGGAUGAAGUUGGGAUGGUCACUGUCUACUAGCUUGAGUCGCUGAUGUAUGGGUUCGUGACAGGCUUGUGAUACCUCCUCUGCAGCUGUGAGUGCUAUGGGAGCGGAGUGUUGUAGUUUGUUUUAUGUUGCUCUGUUUUUAAUUUUGAAUUUGAGGUCCUGUUGGUACCCUUCACACUCUGUUGUAUUUCCUCACUUUCUUGUUCUCAAACUCUUAUGUUAUGGUCGCAAAGCGUUAAAAAAAAAUGUGGGCAAUCUAUCUUUUAAUUUUAUUUCCAUUUAUUAUCCGUUUUAUUUUGAUUUGAAAAACUCAAAUAUUCAUAACUUUAAGAAAAGUACAACAAAUAUGAAUUUCAAUUUUUGUUAAAAAUAAAUUAAAUCACAAAUAUUAAUAUUUUAAAAAUUGGAUAUCUGAUUCAACAUAUAUAUAAUUAUAUUUAUAUAUGUUUUAAAAUCUAUUUUUAUUAAAUUGGUUAUUUAAGUAUUAAUAUUCAAAAUAUAACUAAAUUUUUAGUUUUGUGGUAAAUAAUGUUAUUUAUAUUAAAUUCAAUUUUAUAUUUUAAUUUUUAGUUUUGAAUUCCAAAAUUUUUUACACACUAGAUUAGAUCUUAAAUACUCGGUAGAAAUAUAAAAUUUUAGAUAUCCAUACAUCAAAUUUUUUACACACUUACGCAGUGGAUACAAAUGUUAAUUUGGACAAAAUGGAACGGCUCAUAAAUACUUUCAAAUUUUGGAUAUCCACUUUGUUACCACCACUAAAGAUCAAUUUCGAAAGAAGAGCAAGCAAAGCAAGAAACCCCCUUCCUCUCUCUAACUUCUUUCUCUUUAAUAAAUCAUCAUCAUUCACAUGACGCAAUAUGCACACAUCUUUUCUCUCUCUCUCUCUCUCUUCUCGCGGCCGCCAUCUAUGCAUAAACACAACACAACGCAUGAUUGUUGUGUCAGGAGAGAGAUAAAGAACCUUCUCUCUCUAGCUUUUGGGGAUCUAUAUAACAGACAGUGUCUCCCUUUGUUCUCUUUGUCCCUCUACCUUCUAUACACAGUAGCGUCUCUCUCUCUCUCUCUCUCGGUUAACUCUGCAUCUCAACAGUCCUUCCCAAAAGCAAGCAAUCAAUGGAGAGGCUAAACUCGAAGCUGUAUGUGGAGAACUGUUACAUAAUGAAAGAGAAUGAGAGGCUAAGGAAGAAAGCUGAGCUUCUGAACCAAGAAAAUCAACAGCUUCUGGUUCAACUCAAACAGAAACUAUCCAAGACUAACAAGAACCCUAAUGGAUCAAACAAUGACAACAAUGUUUCUUCAUCAAGUUCUGCCUCUGGACAAUCCUGAAUUAUAAUUAAGAAAUGUUAGAGCAAAGAUCUGGAAUUGGAAGAAAAAAAAAGACUCAACCGUAUGGACUUUUUCUUUGGUUAUUUCAUUUGGUGUUAAUGUAGGGAAGAUAGUAGUAGUAUCCAGUAGUUUUUAAUGAAAGAAGAUUCUCUUCUAUUACAAGAAGACUGUCUCUGUGUUAGUCUUCUCAGUUAUAUUUUACGUUGUUUCUAUUUUCGAUGUUAAUUAAAGAACUUUCUUUGCUUUCUUGUGUGGGGUUUGGGUUUUAGGAUAUGGUUGAUUCUUGGACUAACAUUGUACCUCUGCUCUGCUUAUCAAAUAUUUUCUCAUGUCCAUAUCUAUC